AAUUCCUGGGUAAUGGGUCGAGCAAUCAAGACAAUGCCAGAUGCCAAAGGUGCAGUCAGAAGAGUUUGUGUGCAAACCAAAACCAGCACACUGGACAGACCCGUGAACAAACUGUGCCUGCUUCAAGAAACAGCCAAUGUUUGUUUGCAGUGUUAUUGCUAGUGAUUUGAAAACAAUAGUUAAUAUAAAAGUAAUUGGCUCAUAUUGAAGUAAAGUA